ensembl:lncRNA
CGCACAGAGACGCACAGUUGGACCCAAGACAGCUUAGAGUCGAAAUCCAAAGAAAAAACCAGAGAUUUUAAGAUGCUUGGCUCUAGAUGGAUGCUGCCCUUCCUGGCUCUUUACCUGCUGCUGGAGGAGAUAUCUGCUGCUGUCAUACCAAGCAGAUCCAGAAACAAAAGGGAGGUCACCUUAAUGGACCAAGAAGUCUUUUCCCACCUGUUCGAUCACUUGGACAUGAGCGACCUCUCUGUGGGUGACACAGGGGAGACAGUGGGAGAUGUGGGCAAUCGCUCCUUUCAGUCAGAGACUUUCAUCGCCCCAACAGAACACCUUCCUGCCCAGCGGCAGCACCCGAACCAGCACCAGCAUAACCGGAAAGCCAACGAAAAGAGGAGGAAGGUCGCUCCUCUGGACCCCAUCGGCGGCUUUCAAAUAUCCAGCUUCAGAACCCGAAUGGAUGAACCAGACCUCCACGGGGAAGAUUAUCAGAACUAGAAAGCCUGCUAAAUAUCAUGCAUGAACUUUGUAGAACUUGGUAUUUAUUCAGCAUCUGUGCCAUACUAACGAGUGAGAUUCCUGCCAGCUGUCGCCCUCUGCUGGUAGAAAACAAAACCUGACAAACACAACUGUGUGCCAACACCUAAUAA